AGUUCCCCUUUAGAAAACCAAAGGCGGCGAUAAAAAACCCUUUUAUCCUUCUCCUCGGAUCCCAACAGCAGCAGCGGAUAUUGAAGAAGUCCUGGCUAAGAGAACAGGCGGUGGUCGCAGCGGAUAAUGAAGAAGUCCCUUUUAGAAAACUCCCCAACGGUAGUUAGAAAACAGGGGAGGCGCAAACAGGGGAGGUGCUGUUCGCCGCCUUCUUCCACCUCCUACUUGUCGCCGCCGACACCCAGAUCCUCAACAUCUACACCGGCGAGCAGUGGGAGAGCGCACGUUAAUGCUGCCUUCUACAGUGGCAGCAUUAGAAAAUAGGUGGCGUGGUCUGAUACCUCUGUUACACUCACGACCUGCCUCCAAGUUGCAGAAGAAAGAAAUAGUAGCGGCUUCACAUUUCCCGCUUUGAUACCAUGAUAGAAAACAUGAGAAGGGAGCGACAAAGAAGGAAGCAACGCAAAUUUACGUGGUUAGGCACUUUGGCCUAUGUCCAAGGAGGAAGAAGAGGCUGCUGUUUUAUUUAUCCUCACACAUUUACAAUCAAAGAGAAAAUGAGGGUUUUAUACAUUCCAAAGGGACGAUAACUAGGAAGACCGUUAUUUUAUCUUUCCAUAAAAUAGAAAUGAUUUUCUUCCUUCUCAUCGUGACUUUCCUUCAUUCUCGUUGUAACUGCAAAAUAUUGUUGAUCUUGAAUUUUUUGGCAGCAACAAUCUUCUUCCACAAAUCUCCUAACAUUGUACGUGUCUCCACAGACGAACCAAACAAGACGCGAUUCAGAACAUCGCUUAUUCGCUUCACUGACUACUUGCCUGACGAUUUUUAGUCCAAAAAGGGAAGAAAAGAAAAGAACAGAAGAGCUUGGAAGCAAUUAGUUCUACUACAUGGGGGGAGUGGGAGGUGGAGGUACACCGAAACUCAAGUAUGGCUUGCGAUUGGGAAUAGGCGACUGCGGGCUCUGAUCAGCCUUCUUGCUAGAAGCCCAUGGAGAUUCUUGCCCCAUCAAACUUGCCAAUUCCCUCUCUGCUGCCAUGGAAGGGAUAGUAUGCCGUGGGUUUCCCUGUUGCUGUUGCUGCAGCAGAGUAGCUCAUCACAAGCAAGGCCACAGCGGCAAACAGUAAGGGUGUCUUGACAAUCCAGCAACCCAUUCAGCGAGCAAGAGAGCGAAUAGGACUGUUCAACUGUGGCCCGUGUAUGUAGGAUGAAGAAGGAAGGGUGGGAGUCGAAGUAUUUAAUUAUCAGAGAUCCGCUGAGUCAAGGGUGACGGCAAGUGCGACUGCUUUGGAACAUGGAAGAAGAUGACAUCACAGUUCUAGCAUCCAUGGGACCAUAAGGUUCGUAGAAAGACCCACGGUUGGCCUGAUCCCAUUGAAAUGUCGGUUUCACAGACAUUUCUUUGCAAUAAAGUCAUUUUUAUCGUAUCCGAAAUAUCUUCUUCCAAAGAACUAAGUGUAAUUCAGCUUCGGCGUUUUAUUUAACUGUGUGUAUUCGGCGGCCCUACCAUUAGAAGGCGAACGUGAAGAGGAAACAACCAAGAAGAAGCAAGGGAGUACCAAGAUGCCACAGCCACUGUUUUUUGACUUGCAAAGAAAGUUGAAGAUGGAGUGCCUAAGCAAGAAGGGAGCCUUUAAAGUACGCAUGAAAUUUUCUCCUGUUCAUUUGCAAUCAAUCAAGCUGGUAGAUAAGAUAAGACGAGAGUGUUCAUUGAGUUUGCCUUGUCUAAGGAACUAAAGGAAGAAAAUUUGGUGGCCUUAAUAAAUAUUCCAAGAAGUGGAGCCUUUGUGUAUGCUUCAUCACCGACUGUUUAGAAGAGUGGAGCUAGAAAACGCUCGGGUUCUCUCUUGCCUGGUCGUUGAGCUCAUGUUAGGUUCCACUACUGGCCAAAAGUAAUAACAAAAAAUUAUUAGAAUGUAGUGGAGCUCUUUUGUGGUUGUCAACUCAGUUGGCGAUCUUCUUUGGCGAGUUUUUUUUGUAGUUCUUUCGUCCUUCUAAGCAUUUCAUUAAUGAAUAGUGGUUGGUUACUACUCAA